rnacentral:lncRNA from 1 species
UGUACCUCUAUAAAGAAAGGGACAGUUUCUGGAUCUACAUUAUUGUUAGACUUAAUGUGCAAAACCGCAAUUCCGAAACCCUACAAAUUAUGAGAAAGAAAAAGCUUUAAGCUGAAAAGAAAAAAAAAUUGCAAAUCUUGAUGUAGGAAUGAAGUCUCCAGAAUGAUAAAACUUUAAGCGAUUUUAUAUCAAGACUUUGAAAUAAUAUGAUCCCCAUGGAUCGAAAAGUUGCAGCUUCCCAGCUUUCCCAUGAACUUACUCCAGUGUAGGUCUCUCUGCUUCUUUUUUUUUUUUAAUAAAAAAAAGUCUCUCC